AACGGAGGGGGCGAGAGUUGUUCGGAAUUACUGGGCGUAAAGGGUGCGUAGGCGGCACGCUAAGUUUGGUGUGAAAUCUCCCGGCUCAACCGGGAGGGUGCGCCGAAAACUGGCGGGCUAGAGUGUGGGAUAGGAAAGUGGAAUUCCUGGUGUAGCGGUGAAAUGCGUAGAUAUCAGGAGGAAAACCUGUGGUGAAGACGGCUUUCUGGACCAUUACUGACGCUGAGGCACGAAAGCGUGGGUAGCAAACAGG
rnacentral:rRNA from 1 species